rnacentral:rRNA from 1 species
CGGGGCAGCUACCAUGCAGUCGAGCGGCAGCACAAGUGAGUUUACUCCUGAGGUGGCGAGCGGCGGACGGGUGAGUAAUGCCUAGGGAUCUGCCCAGUCGAGGGGGAUAACAGUUGGAAACGACUGCUAAUACCGCAUACGCCCUACGGGGGAAAGGAGGGGACCUUCGGGCCUUCCGCGAUUGGAUGAACCUAGGUGGGAUUAGCUAGUUGGUGAGGUAAUGGCUCACCAAGGCGACGAUCCCUAGCUGUUCUGAGAGGAUGAUCAGCCACACUGGGACUGAGACACGGCCCAGACUCCUACGGGAGGCAGCAGUGGGGAAUAUUGCACAAUGGGGGAAACCCUGAUGCAGCCAUGCCGCGUGUGUGAAGAAGGCCUUCGGGUUGUAAAGCACUUUCAGUAGGGAGGAAAGGUUGUAAGUUAAUACCUUGCAGCUGUGACGUUACCUACAGAAGAAGGACCGGCUAACUCCGUGCCAGUAGCCGCGGUAAUACGGAGGGUCCUAAGCGUUAAUCG